GACGAACGCUGGCGGCGUGCUUAACACAUGCAAGUCGAACGGAAAUGCCCUGCUUGCAGGGUACUCGAGUGGCGAACGGGUGAGUAACACUUGGGUGAGCUGCCCUGCACCUCUGGAUAAGCCUGGGAAACUGGGUCUAAUACCGGAUAGGAGCCAGUUUUAGUGUGAGGGUUGGAAAGUUUUUUCGGUGUAGGGUGAGGUCGCGGCCUAUCAGCUUGUUGGUGGGGUAAUGGCCUCCCAAGGCGGAGACGGGUAGCCGGCCUGAGGGGGUGGGCGGCAACAGUGGGACUGGGAUACGGCCCCGACUCCUACGGGAGGCGGCGGUGGGGGAGAGUGCUCAAUGGGCGCGAGCCUGAUGCAGCGACGCCGAGGGGGGGAUGACGGCCUACGGGUUGGAAACGCCGUUCCCUAGGGACGAAGCUUUUUGUGACGGUACCUAGAUAAGAAGCACCGGCUAACUACGUG
rnacentral:rRNA from 1 species